rnacentral:rRNA from 1 species
AGAGGGGGGUGGAAUUCCACGUGUAGCAGUGAAAUGCGUAGAGAUGUGGAGGAACACCAAUGGCGAAGGCAGCCCCCUGGGUCGAUACUGACGCUCAUGCACGAAAGCGUGGGUAGCAAACAGGAUUAGAUACCCUGGUAGUCCACGCCCUAAACGAUGUCAACUAGGUGUUGGGAGGGUAAAACCUUUUAGUGCCGUAGCUAAC